AGAGUUUGAUCCUGGCUCAGGAUGAACGCUGGCGGCAUGCCUAAUACAUGCAAGUCGAACGAAGUCUUUAGAAAAGCUUGCUUUUCAAAAAGACUUAGUGGCGAACGGGUGAGUAACACGUAGGGAACCUGCCCAUGUGCCUGGGAUAACAGAUGGAAACGUCUGCUAAAACCGGAUAGGUAUGAGGAUCGCAUGAGCCUCAUAUUAAAAGAGCGCUAGCUCUGAACAUGGAUGGACCUGCGGCGCAUUAGCUAGUUGGCGGGGUAACGGCCCACCAAGGCAACGAUGCGUAGCCGACCUGAGAGGGUGAACGGCCACAUUGGGACUGAGACACGGCCCAAACUCCUACGGGAGGCAGCAGUAGGGAAUUUUCGUCAAUGGAGGGAACUCUGAACGAGCAAUGCCGCGUGAGUGAAGAAGGUUUUCGGAUCGUAAAGCUCUGUUGUAAGAGAAAAACGGUGGAUAUAGGAAAUGAUGUCCAAGUGAUGGUAUCUUACCAGAAAGCCACGGCUAACUACGUGCCAGCAGCCGCGGUAAUACGUAGGUGGCAAGCGUUAUCCGGAAUCAUUGGGCGUAAAGGGUGCGUAGGUGGUGCAUUAAGUCUGAAGUAAAAGCCAGCAGCUCAACUGCUGUAAGCUUUGGAAACUGGUGUACUAGAGUGCAGGAGAGGGCGAUGGAAUUCCAUGUGUAGCGGUAAAAUGCGUAGAUAUAUGGAGGAACACCAGUGGCGAAGGCGGUCGCCUGGCCUGUAACUGACACUGAGGCACGAAAGCGUGGGGAGCAAAUAGGAUUAGAUACCCUAGUAGUCCACGCCGUAAACGAUGAGAACUAAGUGUUGGAGGAAUUCAGUGCUGCAGUUAACGCAAUAAGUUCUCCGCCUGGGGAGUAUGCACGCAAGUGUGAAACUCAAAGGAAUU
rnacentral:rRNA from 1 species